rnacentral:rRNA from 1 species
CCUACGGGAGGCAGCAGUGGGGAAUAUUGGACAAUGGGGGCAACCCUGAUCCAGCCAUGCCGCGUGUGUGAAGAAGGCCCUCGGGUUGUAAAGCACUUUCAGUGAGGAAGAACGCCUGGUGGUUAAUACCCAUCAGGAAAGACAUCACUCACAGAAGAAGCACCGGCUAACUCCGUGCCAGCAGCCGCGGUAAUACGGAGGGUGCGAGCGUUAAUCGGAAUUACUGGGCGUAAAGCGCGCGUAGGUGGCUUGAUAAGCCGGUUGUGAAAGCCCCGGGCUCAACCUGGGAACGGCAUCCGGAACUGUCAAGCUAGAGUGCAGGAGAGGAAGGUAGAAUUCCCGGUGUAGCGGUGAAAUGCGUAGAGAUCGGGAGGAAUACCAGUGGCGAAGGCGGCCUUCUGGACUGACACUGACACUGAGGUGCGAAAGCGUGGGUAGCAAACAGGAUUAGAUACCCUAGUAGGC